UUUGUAAUUUAUGCCAGUCAACUUAUUUGUAUCAAAGAUUUGAACUAAGGGGUUUGAACUCGACAUGGUUAUUUGCAGAGAAAAUAAUUUCUAGUUAGAUUUUAUAUUUAUAAUAUUGUUUAUUCUAGGAACUUUAAAAAUAAACAAAGGCUCCUGCUAUUUUCUCAAAUCUUCCACACUCCUUGGGUGGAGAAAUGAAAAUCUAUAUGUGAUCGAUUUCAAGUGGGUACUGCAGUCUCAUUAAUUUAUACACACCUCACCUAAUAGUUAUUGAUGAGUACAGACUGAUGAGUAGACAAUACUUUGUCCAUUGCUUCACUAAGUCCUGUGGCCUCACCUAAUAAUUAUUGGCAUAUUUCUUAGUUAAGUCAGACCAAUCGUUCACCAGCGGACGCAAAGCCAUCAUUGGGACCCUCACCUAACAGUUAUUGAGCCCAACCCCAUCUCUACCCUAGGACAUCAAAUGUUAAUAGAGUGAUUGUACCUUUUCGAUACAAUCGAACCACUAUAACCAGUCGAGAAUGAUCAAUGUCAGGAAGGUACCUGCAUCUCUACAAUGAUGGAAGACCUUUAGACUUAAUAUUUAAUGAGAAGAUUUGGGUUUAGAUUUCUUCUAAAUCAGCAAAUCUGACAUCUGACUGAUUAAAUCAGAUCAGCACAUCAAUAUAUCUAACCAUCCUAGUUGGUAUGGGUGAACUCGAGUCAACAAGUAACCUAACACGAAACUAAAUCUCUCAAGAUGGCCAGGUAAGUUAAGAUGUAUGGGGGUCCCCCCAUUACUUUCCUUAGACACCAAUCAAAAUUGAUCAGGUCAGACAACGGAAUUAAUUAAAUAACCACCAUCUAAAUACUUACUUUAGACACCA
rnacentral:lncRNA from 1 species